UCAAUAUUUCAGAGGGAAAUGCAGAAGAGCAAAGGAGUUAAACAAAAGUUCAGAUAAGCAUAACAAAUGCUGGAAAGAUGAGAUCCUCCAAGCAGAGUGCUCUAGAAAGCCCUCCUGUUAAUCUGGGCAAGGUUCUCAUCAAUUGCUCUGAGGAGGAAGAGCUAUUAUUGGACUCAUAAGGAGAGAGAGAUCAUCCUUGAAGACAGUGCUGGUGGGAAGCUAGAGAAGGAAUGCCCUUCAUUUCCUAGGCCCUGAUUUCUUCCUUUUGGAUGGACAGUGCUGGUGAGGCUGAUUUCCUGUACCUGCUCUCCAUGUGGUCUUCAGGGCUUUCAAGAGAUAUGCACCAAAGAACAGCCAAUGGGAGGAAAAGACAGAACUGAAGGCAUGUGGUAUUUUCCUGCUGUUUGAAGUGGAUCUUAGACAAUUUGUGUGGCUGUAGGAAGCCCCAUGGGCCACAGGUUGCCUGCUUUUAAAAUGGGCAUCAUAAUACUGAACAAGGC